AGUUUGAUCCUCGGUCAGAUUGAACGCUGGCGGCACGCCUUACACAUGCAAGUCGAGCGGUCCAAAUGAGGGAGCUUGCUCCCGAAAGACGAGCGGCGGACGGGUGAGUAACGCGCGGGAAUGCGCCCUUUGGCGGGGGACAACCUUGGGAAACCAGGGCUAAUACCGCAUAAUCUCUACGGAGUAAAGCGGGGGAUCUUCGGACCUCGCGCCAUUGGAGCGGCCCGUGUCCGAUUAGUUUGACGGCGGGGUAACAGCCCACCGUGGCUACAAUCGGUAGCUGGUCUGAGAGGAUGAUCAGCCACACCGGGACUGAGACACGGCCCGGACUCCUACGGGAGGCAGCAGUGGGGAAUAUUGGACAAUGGGGGCAACCCUGAUCCAGCGAUGCCGCGUGUGUGAAGAAGGCCUUCGGGUUGUAAAGCACUUUCGCGGGGGAAGAAACUUCGCGCUCUAACAUAGCGCGGCACUGACGGUACCCCGAGAAGAAGCGCCGGCUAACUCCGUGCCAGCAGCCGCGGUAAUACGGAGGGCGCAAGCGUUAAUCGGAAUGACUGGGCGUAAAGCGUGCGCAGGCGGCCGCGGAAGUCGGAUGUGAAAGCCCCGGGCUCANCCCGGGAACUGCGUNCGAAACNCCGCGGCUCGAGUNCGGCAGAGAANGNUGGANUNCCGCGUGUAGCNGUGAAAUGCGUAGAGAUGCGGAAGAAUCACUAUGGCGAAGCAUCCUUCUGGNCCGCACUGACGCUGAGCACGAAAGCGGGGUAGCAACAGGAUAGAUACCCUGUAGUCAAGGCGAUUCUGCGANUCCAUCACACUGCCGCGCUCAGCUGCUCUAGG
rnacentral:rRNA from 1 species